GUUUUUGUUAUGUUUUUCUGUUUUUCCCUCGCGUGCCGCACAGCAACAACUUUUUCGGUUGUUCUUUUUUAUUUAUUUAAAGGUUAUUUAAACGAGGUCGUGAAAAGUGGCAUGUUCAUUUUUGGAUGUUUACCAAGUAUUUGCUCAACCGGUACUUGCUGCGGGUUCAAAACGUUGAAACGUAUCCAGAGUCGUCUCCACAAAAGUGCUUUGGAAAUGAAAAUAUGUGUCCUGCUGUACGCUCCUGAUGGAGCUGGUGAAACCGACUUGGUGAAAAAUCAGGAAUCACAUCAACGACGACGGAACGAUUCACAACUAAGCGGGGACCAGAUCGCUGUCGUGAUUGAUUGCCCUCCAGGAAAGUUUGAGAAAAAAGGCGAGAAAUUUUCUCCACAUUUAACUGCUGCCGUAGCUUCAUUGCUUCACCUUUUGGAAUCUUUGGUCGCUCACAGGAACCAUCCAAGAGGAUGUAAGACUUCUGCAUCUAAUUAUCAGGACACAGCCGCUUUUUGCGUGUGUGUUAUUAUUUAAAAGAGGACGAAUCUGGACGAAUGAGGAGACGAAGUGGUAGUACACGCGGUGCCGCUUUGCCUAGCGGUUUUAUGUUAUCCUGCGGUUGGCUUUUCCGGAUUUAUUUUUAGCGCAUCCAGUGUUGAUCUCAGCGGAAGUGCCUUCUGCCAGCCAUCGCGCGUUUUAAGUUAAUAUUAAUUUAUAAGAAUAAAAUAAAAACAUAUUAUAAAUUUCGAAACCAAAACUAUUUUUUGUAUAUUUUAGAAUUGCCUAUUUACAAUACAAAUACUCAUAAUGAAAGUUCUUUCAUCUUGUUGUUUUGAAAGCAUUUUGUGAAUACAAAUGGAAAAACACUUUUUAUUUUGAGAGAAAACUGUUGCUUUGACAAACAGAUGAAUCUUGCUGAAACACAGUUUGUGCCUAAUUGAUUGCUAAGUUCCUUGAUUGCUUUAUUAGUUGGUUGGUUGCUUGAUUGAUCGUAGCUUGCUUGAAUGGUAAAAUGGUGAGUUCCUUGAUUGGUUGACUGGUUGGGUGCGUGAUUUGUUAGUUGGUUAAUUGGUUGGCUGCUUGAUUAAUUGGUGGGUUAUUUGGUUGGUCGGCUUGUUAGUUGAUUAGUUGUUUUGUUGGCUGCUUGAAUGGUUAAUUGGUUAGUUGGUUGGUUGAUUGAUUGAUUUGUUAGUUGGUGAAAUGAUUAUUUGCUUGAGUUAGUUGGUUGAUUGAUAGCUUGUUUGAUUCGUUAAUUGCUUGAUUGGUUAAUGGUUGCUUGAUUGAUUGGAAGUGGUCUUGAAUGAUUGUUUGCUUGAUUGGUUAGUUGUUUGAUUGGUUGGUUGCCUAAUUGGUUGGUUAGUUGCUUGAUAGGUUAAUUGGUUGCUUGAUUUAUUUUUUAUUUGAUUGGUAGCUUGCUUGAAUGGUUGAAUGAUUGGUUGCUUGGUUGAUUGGUAAGAUGCUUGAUAGGAUGGUUGUUUAAUAGGAUGGUUGCCUAAUUUAGUUUAUUGGUAGCUUGCUUGAAUGGUUGAUUUAUUGUUUUGUUGUUUGCUUGAAUGGUUUUCAUGUUGGUUGCUUGAAAAGUUGAUUGGGUUACUUGAUUGAUUAGUAGGAUGUUUGAUUAGUUUUUUGUUUCAUUGGUUGGUUGACAGGCUGGUGGGUUGGUAGGUUGUUUGAAUGGUUGGUUGGUUGAUUUGUUAGUUGGUUGAAUGGUUGGUUGGUAGCUCGCUUGAAUGCCUAAUUGUUUUAUUGGUUGGUUAGUUAUUUGGUAGCUUGCUUAAAUGGUUGAUUUAUUGGUUGCUUGGUUUUUUGGUUUGCUGGUUAGUUGAUUAUUUGAUUUUUGGUUGCUUGAUUGGUUGAUUAGUUGGUUGGUUGAUUGAUUGAUUAGUUGAUUUGUUAGUUGGUUAAAUGUUUAAUUGCUUGAUUGGUUGGAAGUUGAUUGGUAGCUUGCUUGAAUGGUUGGUUGGUUCAUUGGUAGAUUGGUUAAUGGUUGCAUGAUUAAUUGGAAGUGGGUUAGAAUGAUUGUUUGUUUGAUUGGUUAGUUGGUUACUUGAUUCGUUUGUUGUUUGGUUGAUUUGCUGGUUAAUUAGUUAUUUGAUUGGAUAAUUGGUUACUUUAUUGAUUGGUUGCUUGAUUGGUAACUUGCUUGAAUGGUUGGUUGCUUGAUUGGUUUAUUGGUUGGUUAGUUCACUGGUAUCUU